rnacentral:misc_RNA from 1 species
AAAAGAUUCUUGAUUAGAACAUCUUGCACAAGUUCAUAUCCCACAUUUAACAAUUGGGUUUCAUAACAAGGGUAUUGGAUAGUAUGCAAUCACCCUUCAACAUUAAAUAAGUACAAAAAAAUCUAUAUGACUUAAAAAAAAAAAAAAUUGCUAGAUGUAUCCUCUAGCCACAGCCUCUAUAGUGAAUCAAAAACCACUGAUAUACAAUUCUGAUUCAAAUCUAAACUCGAAAUCUUAUAAUUUUAAAGACAAAUUUAAUAUUUUGGCAUAUGUACUCAAAAUCCCUUUUGUUAGUUUGGCUUCCCCAGAAAUCUCUAGCUUGCAGGUUGCCUUUGGAUAAGCCUGCAACUGGACACUGAAGAAUUUGAUUUUGCUAAUGAGAGAAAUGAAGAAAAAAAGAAAUAGAAAUCUGUGUAAUGUUGUUGUUAGUCCUUGAAUUCAUUGAUUGUUACUGCAGAAAUCACUUGACUCUCUCUUGUUUUGGAAUCUUUUUAUACCCAGGAAAUCCAUUCUUGAAAGCAGAAACCUGCAUACACAUGACAGAACCUAUGUUAAUACAAUUUCAUAAUGUAUAGCACUUUGAUGAUACAAAUUGAUAAAUGCUUAUUUUCACUUUCAUAUGGAAUCAAAAUCUAAGCAAUUUGACAAAAGAGAGCAGAGAAACUAAACAAGUGUGAACUCAACUCGAGUUUACAGAUUAGCAACAUAUAUUAUGGUCAUUUUUUAGUUUUUUUUUUAAGAAAUUAUAGCUGUGGGAAAAGAAUAAAGGAAUGGGAGAUUCUUGAAGUUGGUUUGUGAAAAGAAUGAGAACUCAUGAGUUUGGUAAUAG